AGGCUGAAGUUGAGUGGUCUAUUUGGCUCGGGAGACACGAUGUUCAUAGAAGAACUAGAGUGUAUUGUUCCAGUGUGAAAGGUCCACAGACAGCAUGAGAUGGUGUGUUUCCAAGUACAUUCCAGGACCAUGAGGAUGUCAUGUGGAUUAGCCCAAGCAGAACGCCUCAGGAGUCAUUGGCAUCUCUCAGGCAGCAUCCAAAGAAGUUGCCUUUGGGCCUGAAGCUUACACAAUUUGGAAGGCCCUCUUCUAAACUUAUGCAAAAUGAACAUGAAAGCGAAUAUUGAUUUAGGAUGUGAAGAAAAUUCAUAAUGAACUUUUAAAAAUGAUGACUAAAUCACUGAAAUUCCAAUAUAGCAUGUACACACACACAGGUGUGUGUGUGCAUGGAUUAAGACACAACUGUGUAGUUGUACAAUCUAAAGUGUGAAGAAGCACAAGUUCAAAGUGAAAGAUACAACGUUUUAUUGGGAAUCAAAACAGCUAACUCUUGCAAAUUUUACACACAUAUUCACACAAAUCACAUGGCCGUGUGAACAUAUAACAUAGGCCCGUGAGUGACAGCUGAGUCCCUCUAAGAAUAGAAAUGCACUCGGGUUCAUGUCAGACCAAUAGUGCUCAUUUCCACAUCACAUUUUAAAAGCAAACUAGCUUUUCUAACAUUUUUUUCCUCAAAAAACCUUACUUUCCUAAAGUUACUAUCCCCACUUUCAAGUUAAGAUAACAAUUCAUAGGAUUCAGGGUUUAUCUUUUAGUUAUGCACGUUUCAUUGUACCCUGAAAACAGCCACAGUUAGCCAAAUGGAGGCUUUUCUGUAGCUCAUUUCUGGUUCCCAGAUCCCGGUCCAUCUAUUGCUCACACAGCUUGGAACGACUUACCAGCCUGCAUAUAUUACUGCCGGAACCUGUCAGGGCUAGCCAGUGAAUAAAUCAAAAGAGAACGCUGGCUUGGUUUGAGAUAGAUGACUGCAUCUUAGGGGACACAGUUCCAGAACAAAGUGCAUGCUUUCCUACAAUGUGUGCCACUUAGAUGGGCUCCCAGCAGUGAACCUGGACUCCAGCUAGGUCUAAAAUCGCUAAACUGUGUGUCUGAUUAGUUGUCUUCCACAGAGGAAUAAGCCACUACAUGCAAAGCAUCCCAUCAGUCAGGAAGACAGCUAGGAGCCUGUUUGUUUUAGGAAACCACUUAGCCACUGAGCAAGAACUGCUUCCCUAAGUGGAAUCUCAGGCAAGUGUAGAGGUCACAGUCUCGCACAGGCCGACAAAAUGUUCACCGCACAUUGAGAUGUCGUUCACUCCCAUGUGGACUACAUGCAGAUGACCAGUCAUUACCUUUGGGUUUCAGACGGCUUUUCCAGGAACCAUGAGAAGGUAGUGACAGUAUAUCGCAAACAUCUGUGCCGUUGGCUUCACCCCUCAGGGCUUUUCUUCCACACAGAUAAGCAUGGCAGAUCGAAUUCAAGGAAUUAUCCUAAGAACCAAUGCACUCAUUUACACCGAGGUGUCACAGAGAGAGUGAGAAAUCCAUGUGAUGUUUCUGCGAAAAUCCAUCUUACAUUUUAAAAGCGAUUGUUGCUUCAUGUCUGACACCAGGGCUCUUUCACGUCAUAAGAGAUCGUGCGUCCCGUAUUUAAAAUAUGAAGUGCUCUCCAAAGCAACCUUAUGAAAACAUCUAGACAAUGACACAUCCAAGUAAGUAGAGAGAAGUACAACGGUCUGCAGUAUUUUUUUUUUUAUCAAAUUAGUUUGCAAGGCAUUUGAGAACUAGAAACGAUGGUGGCCGUGCUACGCACAAGUGCCACAGAUGGAUCCAAAAUGAACCCAGCAUGUUCCCGGGGUCUCAAACUCCUAGAACGUAUGUACAUGGCAUAGAGAAUGGAAGGAUCCCGCAUUGCAUACAGACAGGCAAUGAGAGGUCUCCCUGCUGCAGUGUGGGCACAGGAGGGCUUACUUAUUAGCUUUGCCCCUUGGUGCCGAUCUCUAUCGCAUUUUCUUUAAGAUAUUUUUAUCAAACAGCUCUUUUUCUCGGUAAUGCACGGGUGGGCCCCGUAGGUACUUUUCUUCUGCCUCCUUAUAACCUAAUCCGUCAAGUGCAGCAAUUGAACAAAUGAUUGCUUCUGGCAGAAGAACUUCCAGAACAAAACUCACUUUGUCGUCCCUUGCCAGAGUCAGCCUCUUCUUGUCUAUUUGUUUGUAGAUUUCUUGUAAAUGUCCCACCACGACAUCCAACUGGUCUUCAUCCUCCAGGUAUGUUUCAACGCAGAGCGUGUACCUGUUGGAAUUCAGAAACGAUGUCAGCCACCUGGACUGUUUCCUGCCUUUGACAAUGUCCAGAAGGUGGUGAUCGGCCCCCUUCGUUUUCACGAUGAAGUCCACGAGCCUCUGGUUGGCUCGGUCCCGAGCAGCCCUCAUCCGGUCAGGGAGAAUCUUCUUGCGGGGCCUCUUCCCGCCCACGGAGGUCUCCUCCUCAGAAUCCUCCAGGUCGGCAUAAUUGACCUUUGGGAAGUCAGCCUCCAGAUCCCCGUCCUGGAUGGCUUUCCUAACUGGGUAACUGACGUCAGCAGCAUAAUAGUCCAGGAAGGAGCCUGCAAAAGACCCACAAGUGAGCCCUUCUCUGUAGUGAGAAAUCAGGGAGAAACACCAGUUCACACUUUGCUCGUACAUUUUCCUGGCUCUCUUCAUCAGUGUUUCUUUCUCUUUGCAGUCCAGGGGCUUUAAUCUUCGAAGAGGAACUCGAAUGCCACUCAUUUCAGCGUGCAUGUUUGCCUCAAUCAAAAGCACCCUUGCAGUCUGCUCUGCUUGGCUGACGCUCUUUACCACCGCUGGCCAAAAGGGGUGAUUUUGAAAUUUAAACCAGACCAUCAUUCCUCCUUCAAUGGGACAAGGCUCCUGUGGAGAAAGCGUGCUGGUCAGUUGUCCCAUUUCCUGGCUGACAUCCUUCUUAAUAGCAGUGGUGGGGUUCACAGCCUUUGAGCUGGCCGAAGGUCGAGAUUCCUGCAGCCCUUUCUCAAACUCUGGUACCUGCAGCUUCCUUCUCCUGUUUGCCAGACGGAGUGAACAACGCGGCCUCAGGUUAGGGGCGCUGGAGGAGGCUGCCGCACCUUCCAUGCCUGGCUCCCAGGGACCCUCUCCGUGGUCCUCAACAUUCCCGGAGGAGGCAGAGCGCUCAGAGGAGGCAUCCGGGGUCUUUGCGUGGGUGUCAGGUGCCUCUUCUUUCGGAGCCUCCUCGGGCACAGUGAGGUUGAAACCUGGUGGCGGAGAUGGAAGGAUGCCUCCAUCUUCAGCCCCGGUACCCGCCUCCUUGGCUAUGCGAUGCAAAGACCUAACUCUUGAGGUGUCCCUCUUUUCCUUGCCCUCUUUCUCACCACCAUCUUCUGAAAGUGACGGUAAGUUCGGGCGCCUGCUGGAGCUUGGUGAGGACUUUGCUUGCCUUUUCCUUGGAAGGGGAGUGAGGGUUGUGUGUGCCUGUGAUUGGCCGCCAUCUGGGGCAUCCUGUCUCCGAGAAUGCACCAGCCGCGAUUUGAGGUUUCUGCGUUUCCUGAGACGCCUCAGUAAGAUCCCUUUGGCCUUCCGGUAGUCUUUAAGAGAUCGCUUUCUUGGUCCCCUUCGGGACGGUGUAGUGGUCUCUGGAUCAUCCGAUGCUCCUGCUGGGCGCACAUCUGCUCUCUCCUUCAGAAUCUCCAAUGCCACUGAAAGAGCGUUUCUGUAAGGCACUUCCUGUCCCGCUGGGACACUGGCCUUCGACUGGGCUGUUAGCAAGGAGGUAAUGGAUUCAAUCUGAGACUCGUUUAGGAUCUUUACGUCUGUGCUUUUCACUUUAAUUUUUUCAUCUACCGAGAGUAUUUCAACUUCUAGAGAAAGUGCUCCUUUCCUCUUAUUUCUUGGUGAGACCCCGGAUCUGGACAAAACCCUUGCUGGCCACAAGUGGUCUUUCCAGUUGCACAGGACAUACUCAGCAUCCAUUGUGAUUUGGGUGUCCUCUCAAGAGGUGACUAAUAGAGGUUGAGGGUUCUGGCCGUCAGACACACAGGCACGGCACAUCUUCCCUAAAACAAUGUCCUUCAGCACGCCUUUUGGCCUCGGGCCACAAAGGGUUUACUGCUUGUGUGGACCCUCCUUCUUCACCUGAGUCUCCCAGAGUCACGGAACGGACUGUAUAGGAGAACACUGGAAUGUGGAAAAGGAAGAGAAGAAAACCAUUAGGAGAAAAAAUUACUUUUGUGAACGUAGAAGAACAUCGGUCACUGAGAAUUGAAAGGAGAUAAAACAAAGAACUAUAAAGAGUUUGUGUGUCAGAUAGGGGGAGUAAAUACAAGGCAAGUAUCGGGGAACAUACAGAAGAUGCCUGAGGAGUUUUUUAACCUUCCAUACCCAACUUCUUGCCCUGCUUGUUGCCACUCCGUAUUAAAGAGCAUCUGUGUGGGGAGGCGGGUGUCGUUUUCCAGAUCUCAUUUGUGUUAUUGGCCGUCUUGUGCCUUUUGUGCUCCCUGGGGCUCAUCCUGGGGGGAUGCUUCACUCGGUCCUUAUUUUCUGGGGGGCGCUGAUGCCACCCUGUGCACCCAAGGAAGCCAGGGACGAUCUCCAGCCUACAGACCCUGAAUGCCAGCCAGCCCAAUCUUGGGUUCAAGAGCAUGAGCUUAGAAUCCAGAGGUUCACGAAGAUCAUCCUGGUGGUUACUGGUGCCAUCCUUCAUAAGGAUUGCUACAGGCAUGGGCCAUUGGCUUGACCUGCCCUUUUGCAUUGCACUACGGUGGCUCAAAAGGCUGUUGCCCACCCCCCUCCCCGCCCCCAGAGCUAAAUUUUCGGAAAGAGAUGGCUGUAGAGCGAGGAGCGGAAUAAGCCACACUCCAAAUGUCAACAUGAAAUGACUGCAAGUGAAAUGUUUAGUAAAAUAGGAACGUCUUACAAAACAGCACGUAGAUCGAGGGAGGCGUGAGUCUUUUCGCGGCACCUGUUGGUUCACACGUUCCAACUGCUUGUCCGGCAGACCCUUUCCUCUGCUCUGUGCCUCUGAGGUGCACAGUCCUUCCAGGGAUCAAAUGGCCUCAAAUGUAGAUACCCAGGACGUACGUACCUCUAAUGUUAAUCUAGAAAAUCAGAAAGGCAGAUGGGAAAUUAAGUCAACGAAAUGGGGAUGGAGUCAUCAUUUUCCCUUCCCCAGCUCUGGAAUACAGGCUAUUCUGAAGCAGAAAUGUUAGUUACAUCUCAUUUGGAAUGUAGACCUGUCUCUCUGCUUCCUUCGUUUGAAUUUCAAAAAUAUUUCCAUGUUAACCUGUUUAGUUUAGGCUGGUCCUCCUAUUUCAGAACCAUGGCCACUACUACAGCUUUCAUAAUAGCCUUUUUGUCCGUCUUAAAUGCAAGGAUUUAGUAGUAGCAGCGUUUUGUGUGUGUGUGUGUGUGUGUGUGUGUGUGUGCGCGCAACAAAACGGUGUCUAUUAUGUAAGUGUGUGUUGGUGUUUCUAAAGUAAAAUUGUGAAGAGAAAAACCAUGCAGAGGGGUAUACACGGGGGCAAUACAUGAUAGAUGCUUACUGUCAACAUGAUGGUGUGAGCGUUCAGCGCACGUUCCCAAUGCGCCAUCUACACACGCGUGCACAUAUGCCUAGCACUGUAUUUCUUCACUCAAGAGCAGUAUGGGAUCACUGUUUCGUGGGAAUCUGAUUUUUUGCAUCAGUUUUGUGAAUCACUUUUUGCAAUGCGGUUUCCCUGACAUUUAAAAACUUCAUUUAAAUACAUUUCAAACUUUUAGAUGUGUGUCAUGCAGAAAAUGCAGUUGUUCUCUCAAUCCCCCUUCCGACCCGUCAGGAAAUACCUGUUAAUGGGUUCUACUUUUCCACAUAUACUGUUCAAUUACGUAUCACAGUUCGCUUACAGAUUUUAGUUCAUCCAGUAUCGGUUUCAAAUGGUACGCUUUGAUUUACAACAGAUUAUUUCCCUAAGAAAACACAUGUAUGCAGGACUUUGUUCACACAUACUCCUAGCUACAAUAUGAAACGUAUGAUGACUAAUGACACAGACUUUGGGCCCAGCCUGCACAAACCUUUUCUUGCCAGAAUGUAUGAUCAUGCAGGUAUUGUGUCCUCUGCUUUACAGAACUCAGUGUACUGGCUCUUAGAUCACGGGUGUCGGGUGAGGACACAGAACAGAGAGGAGAAGGAAAAACAGGAAAGAAUGGCUUACCCCAGUUGUCAUGGAAACCAGAAUGUCAUCAGAAAAGGUCUUCCUGAUGUUCGCUUUCUAUGGAAACCAGGAAGUACUAAUACCUCCUCAGAUGCAGAGCGUCGAUCGUGGUCUCAGUCAAUUACACCCUGACCAAUCCAGUGAAUGAAUGAAUGAGUUUGUGAGUGAAUGAAUGAAUGAAACAUUGAAGACAAUAUCUGAUGGUCUCAGAAAAGGCACUGAGGGCAGGGGAGUUUUUGCAAAAUGGGUUAUGGAAGAAAUAAAGUGGAAAGAUAACA